rnacentral:tRNA from 1 species
UCCCUGAUAGCUCAGUUGGCAAAGAAUCUGCCUGCAAUGCAGGAGACCCUGGUUCAAUUCCUGGGUUGGGAA